AUUGAACGCUGGCGGCAGGCCUAACACAUGCAAGUCGAACGAGUGGCGGACGGGUGAGUAAUGUCUGGGAAACUGCCCGAUGGAGGUGGAUAACUACUGGAAAAGGUAGCUAAUAUCGCGUACCAUCGGAUCUGCCCAGAUGGGAUUAGCUUGUAGGUGAGGUAACGGCGCACCUAGGCGACGCUCCCUAGCUGGUCGGAGAGGAUGACCAGCAAGACUGGAACUGAGACACGGUCCAGACUCCGACGGGAGGCAGAAGUGGGGAAUAGUGCACAAUGGGCGCAAGACUGAUGCAGCCAUGCCGCGUGUAUGAAGAAGGGCUGCGGGUUGUAAAGUACUUUCAGCGGGGAGGCGUUACCCGCAGAAGAAGCACCGGCUAACUCCGUGCCAGCAGCCGCGGUAAUUC
rnacentral:rRNA from 1 species